GCCACACGCCUCCAUCAGUCCGUUGCUGGGUCUAGCUCUGGCAACUCAGCAGAUUUAUCUCUUGUUUAAAAGCAUGACAUUCCUCUCCGGGAGCCAGC